CCGCGCCUCCUCCAUACGCGGCCGCCGCCCCGCUCCUCCUCCUGGCCAGGCCACGUGCCCGCCAGCCGCACUCAUCCUCCCGGCUACGCGCUCCGCCGCCUUGCUCCUCCAGCCAACUCCCGACGCCACCCACCUCGUCUGCGGCUACAAGGGUGUGAAAUGCAACCCAUGGCAGCUUCUUCUCCCAAAUCCACCGCCGCGUUCAUCGAUCGAUUCCGUGGCUGGCGGAGCUACCGGAGAUUACUAGAUUUUGGGAGGCAUGGGGAGAAGAGGGAGGAGAAAUACCACUCUGCGGAGAGAGAGGGGCCAGAGCGCCAUCCGCGCGCGGUGACCACCAGGCGGAGGUACGAUCCUCCGUGCGCCGCGCUCGUGCAGAGAAGGUACCCGCGCGGCGCGUCCGUGCAACACGACCACCUCGCGUGCAGGAGUGGGAGGCGCCAGAUCCGGGCCAACGCCGCCGCGCGAUCCCAAGAGCUCUGACCAACGGAAGCAGCCGCGGGACCCUUCACUCCGGUCCCAUGUCCGUCGCCGAGCUUGGGUUGGGGUGGCGGUCGACGGGCGAACUGGGGAUUGGGGAUGAACUGCUACGCCGGCAAGUGGCAACUGCUCCAGUUCUCGUACACGGGCCGAACAAAGGGGAUAUCGAUGAAGUGGCUAAAUGAUAACCACUAGUUGCCCGAGAGAAGUGGUAACUUGCCUUAGUCAUUGUCAGCGGUCGAGGAAUUGGGCCUCAAAUCGCCGUUCUUGUUGCAUGGUGGCCAUCAGAGGAGGUACAUGUGGUUGGAGAUCUGGGAGGAAGAAGAGCAGUGAGAAGACGAGGCAUGCGAUGGGUUGGUGGGAAGGACAACAUGUGGGACUUUUUCUGCACGUGAUCGGGGAAGGGGAGUGGUGCUAGUUGGUGAUCUUUUCUUUUUGCUGGUUGGUGUGCCGGGGCACCUCCGUUCCUAAAUAUAAGUCUUUGUAGAGAUUUCACUAUGAACCACAUACGGAUGUAUAUAGAUGCAUUUUAGAAGUAGAUUCACUCAUUUUGCUCCGUAUGUAGUCCAUAGUGAAACCUCUACAAAGACUUAUAUUUAGGAACGGAGGGAGUAUAUGGUUACACGGGCGCUUACUAGGGGUGCUAAGGGCAUCUUCAACGGCAACCCGCACGUGCCGCCUCUAUACAAGAAUUGAAGUCGUCCGCCUCCAUGUCGCCCCCAAGCUUGGCGUCGACGGGACGGGAGGGGUGGUGGCCUUUUUGGGACACGAGUGGUGACGACCUACCGUGCACUACUCUUCCUCGUUGUCGGCGGCGCCGAACAACGCCUCGCCCGCCUCGUCGUCGCACUCCAUGCCGGCGGCCGCCACUUCCGCCACCCGCUGCCGGUAUCGCCAGCGGGCGAGCUGUAUCUCGCGGGCGGAGCGGUAGGAUUCAAGUAGUGCCUCCUGCUCCGCCAGGUCCUCGUCCGGCCCGGCGGCCCUGCCGGCGGUGACCUACUCCUCUGCAUGCAGAUGCUCCUAGAGGAAGUUGUGGUUGUAGUUGGCGUCAGCCUGCGCCUUUCGAAACUGGCCCUCCCGCUCCGUACACCAUGUCCAUAUAGUGGGCACAGGGCUUGUCGGUGGUCAUGGUGCAAUGCACCGGUGAGGGUGGAGCGGAGAAGGAGGGUGUCGCGGAGGAAGAGGAGGGUGGCGUUGGCACGUCGGAGGAGGCGUCCACCGGCUACCUGCCGACCUGCCAGUCGGCAGUAAUGGCGGCCAUGGCCUUCUUCUACUCCGAUGUCAGCCCAUCCCAGAGAGCUUUGGCUGCGCGGGGGGGGGGGGGGGGGGGGGCCCGGGGGGGGGGGGGGGGGGGGGGGGGGGUCCAUGGCGGGAAGUGGUGCGGAGAGGGAUGACUGUGACUAUGACCGGGGCAUCGGGGCAUCUAUUUAUAUAGCACCGGUGGGCGAUAGAGGGACGGACGAGUGGCGCCGGAGGAGACUCGGCAACCGCGUGCCAUCAAUCCUGGAGGCAGACAGAGAACGGGCGGCCAUCGUGUCGUUUGAACGCGUGACAGUUGCCUGCAACGGGAUGCGGUGCGGGUGGCGCUCUCUUGGCCGGCGCGCCGCUUCAAUGCCGGUGCCAGUGAGCGGUUGCGUCUGCUCUGGCCGGGCAUGAAUGCGGGCGCCGACCCUUUGGAGUGGCGCUGACCAAAAACACGCGGGAGGCGGGAGGGUUUUUUGGUGGGCCAGGACGGUCAGCAACGAGCUUGAGAUCGGUCCGGACUCCCGCAAACCUACCCCACUUUCGUCUCUGGUUUACGGGAGAAAUCACGUUCGGACCACACCGCAGACCGAUACAAAUUGACAUUGGAUAGCUUCCGCGGUCCGGACUGUAGCAGGAGGUUUACGGAUCAGGGUUGGGAUGCUCUAAAUCUCUACUCCUAAUGGACGAGUUGGUUGAAUAGUCCCCCCACUUUCGUCUGGUUUUUUUUCGACUGGUUUUUUUUCAACCGGUUUUUUUAUCAUUCAGCCCGCACCCACGAGACGCUCCUCUCCUCCCUCUCCUAUGCGCUCGAUCCCCUCUCACGCCUAGGGUUCGUAGAGGUUGCGCCGCCACCGCUCGGCUCGGCCUCCUCCUUUCCUUCCCUCCCCCCACCUCCAGCCACACCCAUCCGACCACCUACCGGAUCCCGCACCGCCACGCCUGCAUCGCUCCGGUCUUCUCCCACAACUCGCGCAUCGCAACGGCACUCGCGCCCGCGCGGUCUCCUCCAUGACCUGUCUCCCUUGCGGCGGCGGCGGCACACAUGACGCAUCCGACGGCGAGCUGCACAGGUCAACGCAUCCUCUCUUCUCUCCCAUGGAAGUCCCUCCCCUCUCACAUCUCUCUCUCUGUCUGCGAGCGGUGGCGGCCGGCUGCGCGACAGGUCGAUCUGGUCACGCCUUCCCACCAUCGACCUCGCCGUCAUUGAAGCACGCCACCACGCCGCCGCUCUUCUGUCUCUCCCUGCUCGCCUCCCGCGGCCAAGGAGCGCCCCAACCUCGCCAUGUCGCUCGUGUGGCUCCCAUGGUGCCGCCCCGCAUAGCUCCUUGCUGAGCGCUGCAGGUCAUGAUGCCCGCCGAUUUGAUCUGCACAGCCACUCAAUCCUCGGAACUCCCGAUCGACGACAACUCGACCGGGGGCUGGGGUGAGAAGACUUCGACAAUGCAGACGAGGAAGAUCACGUCGUGGACGAUUGCCUCAGCUAGGGUCCUUUGUUGUCAUGGCACCGUUGACCCUGUGCUGCGGGCCGGCGAGGUCGUUGAACUUGCCGAAGGCAUCACCAAGCUUCUAUCUCUAGAUCUGCACCAAUCCUUGUCAGAAAAUUGAGAAGUCAUGGCAUAGUCAAAUCUGAACAAGCCGUGUGGAGCUUCGCCAUGAGUCUGCGCAUGAAUUUGGGAAUGGAUGGAUGUCACUCCGAAGAAGUCAGAGAAUAUUUUCAAUGCGCAGCAGGACAAGAGAAAAGAAGAGAAGCAAAGAGAGGACCAAGAUCUCUAGCUAUCAAUGAAAUUUUCAGAGUAGUUUUUGUUGCCUUUGUGUAACCCUGAUAGCAGCUUCUUGGAAGGUUCAGAUGUGUGGCAAAGGAUUUCAAUUUUCCUGUUUACACAAAGGAAACUCGAGGAAGGUUCAGAUUUCUCAUGCUUGGUUCUGUGCUCUCAGGGUUACAUAGACAAAAAUGCCUCCUAUUUACACAAAGGCAACUCGAGGAAGGUCCAGAUUUCUCAUGACUGCUUCUUCGGCAUUUCAUGCCUGUGCCAUCUUAUUAGAAAAUGUAGUUUGUUUUAUAGCUGAUGAUGCUUGAUGCUUUUAUCGAUUAGUAAAUGCUCAGCUUUAGCUCAUAAACUACAUGGCAAAAGCUACUUCCGAUGGGUCUGAUGCAAAUAAUUUUCAUCUUUAGACAUUCCUUUAGUUGAUUAUUUAAUCCUUUUAUAAGAAUCUAUUUAGCUUUGUAUUGUUGCAGUUUCAUUAUAUAUCCACUUACCAAUGCAUCUAAAGAUUCAACAAUGUAGAAUCCAGCAUCAGUCUUGGGACUACAAAUUGUUUCUUCAUUCCUCCGUGUUGCACUGUAGGUGAUAAGGGGUCGAGGUCGUAUGUUCGUCGUGGCAUCAAUACAGUAAUACACUUCACUUUCCUUUUCCUUUUCCCUUUUUCUGUUCUUGCAUUUAUUUCUUCUUCGCGGACCUCUCUGUCUACUGCUUUAAUAUGGUUCUGAUUGGUGCCCUGCAUCUUCCAAGAUAUAUGGAUUUUGGUCGAGGUAGUCAUCACAUAAGUAAAAUGCUAUCAACCUCUCAAUUUCUGAAUGGAUUUGUUAAAUUGCCUUUCUCUUGUUGGAUCACAUACCUGAUUUGUUUGUUGUCCUUGAAGCAAAUACCAUGACAUGAGCUUGAAGAUUUCAAAGAUACAGAAGGUUGACAGAAAGAGGAUACACUGAUUUCAGCUGCGGACAUUGAGCUGAGUCUCUCCCUAAUAGAUUUGUUUCCCUACAAUAUGGCGGAUUAAUGUAUAUUCUUCUGAAGUCAUAGUACAUUCAUGGUCUGUAUAUAUGUUUGUAUGCUGCAAACCUGAGUCCGGUUUCAAAGUUUGGCCGCAGCUAGCUUGAUUUGGAGACAUUUCCUGUUAGGAGUUAAACUUUGGUUUGGAGGCAUCGAGCUUUGGCUGUAACUAGCUUUGUUACUUGGUAUACCUCUGUCAGCAUUCAGGAGCCGGGUAGUUGUUGAGCGGGUUGUGGGAGAGGCGGUCGGCGAGCGCGGGCUAGACGGGAAGGUGAUGCUUGUGAUGGCGACCAUGCCGGCGGGCAGGGCAAGGUCGAUUGUGUCCAUCAUGGUGUUUCCGAGGGAGAGCGAGGCAUCUGCCAUCGCGCAUCUGAAGAAGUCGAUGCUCGGGGCGAGGUUGACCACCGUGGCCGGCGUGAAAGCGGACGGACUUAAAGGCCGGUGACAGGUUUGCUCUCGUCGCACCGUCUCUCAACUUGGCGGAGAGGCGAAAGGAGAGCGGUGGCACCAUGAAGACCUCGACGCCUGCUGCUGUGACCACGACCAGGCCAUUGUGUUUGUAAUAAAGAUACUAAUUGUAUACAUAUCCCCCAGCUUCAAAAACAUUAGAUAAAUAUCCAACUUAUUAUUGAAAAAUCUUGAUUCAAGAUAAAUGGAACCUUUCCUAUAUACAAUGAGCUUAUUAUUUGAAGGUUGCAUUGAUUGUGCUAUUAUUGCUGAAAUAAGAGGCUUACGUGAAUUUGUCAA